rnacentral:rRNA from 1 species
CUUAAGCAUAUCAAUAAGCGGAGGAAAAGAAACCAACAGGGAUUGCCCUAGUAACGGCGAGUGAAGCGGCAACAGCUCAAAUUUGAAAUCUGGCGCAAGCCCGAGUUGUAAUUUGUAGAGGAUGCUUCUGGGUAGCGACCGGUCUAAGUUCCUUGGAACAGGACGUCAUAGAGGGUGAGAAUCCCGUAUGUGACCGGCCCGCACCCUCCACGUAGCUCCUUCGACGAGUCGAGUUGUUUGGGAAUGCAGCUCUAAAUGGGAGGUAAAUUUCUUCUAAAGCUAAAUACCGGCCAGAGACCGAUAGCGCACAAGUAGAGUGAUCGAAAGAUGAAAAGCACUUUGGAAAGAGAGUUAAAAAGCACGUGAAAUUGUUGAAAGGGAAGCGCUCACAACCAGACUUCUGGGCGGUGUUCCGCCGGUCUUCUGACCGGUCUACUCGCCGUCCCGAGGCCAACAUCAUCUGGGACCGCCGGAUAAGACCUCAGGAAUGUAGCUCCCCUCGGGGAGUGUUAUAGCCUGUGGUGAUGCGGCGCGUCCCGGGUGAGGUCCGCGCUUCGGCAAGGAUGUUGGCGUAAUGGUUGUCAGCGGCCCGUCUUGAAACACGGACCAAGGAGUCUAACAUCUAUGCGAGUGUUCGGGUGUCAAACCCCUACGCGUAAUGAAAGUGAACGGAGGUGGGAAGGGUAACCUGCACCAUCGACCGAUCCUGAUGUCCUCGGAUGGAUUUGAGUAAGAGCAUAGCUGUUGGGACCCGAAAGAUGGUGAACUAUGCCUGAAUAGGGUGAAGCCAGAGGAAACUCUGGUGGAGGCUCGCAGCGGUUCUGACGUGCAAAUCGAUCGUCAAAUUUGGGUAUAGGGGCGAAAGACUAAUCGAACCAU